CAGUGCCGCGGGAAUACGUAGGGUGCGAGCGUUAAUCGGAAUUACUGGGCGUAAAGGGCUCGCAGGCGGUUUCUUAAGUCUGAUGUGAAAGCCCCCGGCUCAACCGGGGAGGGUCAUUGGAAACUGGGAAACUUGAGUGCAGAAGAGGAGAGUGGAAUUCCACGUGUAGCGGUGAAAUGCGUAGAGAUGUGGAGGAACACCAGUGGCGAAGGCGACUCUCUGGUCUGUAACUGACGCUGAGGAGCGAAAGCGUGGGGAGCGAACAGGAUUAGAUACCCCUGUAGUCCCUGUCUCUUAUACA
rnacentral:rRNA from 1 species